UGCUCUAGAUUAGCUCGUACCGUGGAUAUCUGCCCUAUGGUGGAGGAUACCCCGGGAACUGGGGAUAUACUCCUAAGUCAGGAGUACUGGAAUGUCUCCUAACUGAAGUUGCGGCGCCUAGGAUGAAUCUGCGGCCGAUUAGGUAGUUGUUGGGGUAACGGCCCAACAAGCCCGUAAUCGGUACGGGUUGUGGGAGCAAGAGCCCGGAGAUGGAAUCUGAGACACGAUUCCAGGCCCUACGGGGCGCAGCAGGCGCGAAAACUUUACAUGCAGGAAACUGUGAUAAGGGAACCCCGAGUGCCCGUAAACGCGGGCUGUCCCGGUGUUUAAACACAUCGAAGAAAGGGCCGGGCAAGACCGGUGCCAGCCGCCGCGGUAUACCGGCGGCUCGAGUGGUGACACUUUUAUUGGGCUUAAGCGUCGUAGCUUGAUUUUAGUCUCUUGGGAAUCUCACGGCUUACUGUGAGCGUCUAAGAUACUGGGAUCUAGGACCGGGA
rnacentral:rRNA from 1 species